UAACCCCUUAACCCCCAUAUUAUCCCCAAACACUUUAAAAAAUAGGUAGGGUUAGCUAACUCCACCUCAAAUGGGUUAUCCCGGUUUAGCUAACCCCACUUAACCCCACCAAAACCCAACCAAACACUAUUUUCUAUUCAUAAUAAUCCACUAUCCUUAUUAUCCCACCUACUCCUACUAAACAUUAUUUUUCACUAUCCUAAACUUACUCCAACCCCCAACCAAACACAAAAAUACUCUAACCCGACCUUAACCCCGAACUUAACCCUAUCCCUAGAAUAACUAGUUUUUCCUCAACCCCGAACCAAACGGUAGGGUUUAUCAGUUUACCGAUUGAACCAUCAGUAACACAGAUUUUACAGCUUUCCGAUUUUAUAAGUCGAACCAAAUAGGCCUAGAAAUUGGAUUACGGUCUGACCGAUUCGACCAGACCCUUCGACCAGACCCGACCCGACGUUCUACCCGAUUUCUGUUUUUAAAGACUAGUUGCUAGGGAUGUCAACAGAUCGAACUUGGAAUUUUUAAAAAUCCGAACUCGAACCCGACUAUCAAACCGGAAGCUGGAAAUCCGAAUCCCAAACAAUUAUCUCACUUUACCGUAUUUCAAAAUAUAUCGUUUUAAAUCUUAAUUUUUAAAUCUUAAUUUUUAAAAAUACAAAUUCAAAUAUAACAUCGAACAUUUAUAAAUAUUAUAUAAUAUAAAAUCAAUUCGGGUUCGGAUCAGAUUCUGGUUCGAAUUCAAGUUCGGGCAGUCAAAAUCCAUAUCCAAAUCCAAAUUCAUUGGAUUUUCAUAUUUUUUAACUGGUAUCUGAAAUUACAUUUAGGCUUAGUUUGGUAUUGAGAUCCAUCCGACGCUAUUAAAUAAAAUGGAGUUGGGAUAAUAGUAUAGAGGGAUAUACUCUGCGUUAUUCUGUGGGACCACAAAAAAUAUAUCGCAACCAACUCAUCAUGUAACGUAAUAUUACAUACAGAAACAAACAGGAUAUUUUUCUAUCAUACUUUUUCACCGCACUUUCCCGCAAUCGCAAACGAAGCCCUAAGCUUAAUUUGGUAUUCAGGCCUAUCUGAUGCUAUUAGUAAAAUGGAGUUGGUGCAAAAAUACAUGGGGAUAUGCUUCUGCGUUCUCCGAUGGGACCAUAGAAAAUAUAUUAUAACCAAUUCAUCGCGUAUUACGUAAAGAAACAAACAGAGUUGGUGCAAAAAUACAUGGAGAUAUGCUUCUGCGUUCUUCGAUGAGACCAUAGAAAAUAUAUCGUAACCGACUCAUCGCGUAUUACGUAAAAAAACAAACAGAGUAUUUUCCCACUAUACUUUUUCCCCGCAAUAUCACUUUGUUAUUGAGGCCUAUCUAACACAAUCUCCCCGCAAUCCCAAACACUCACCGCAUGUAACGCAAUCUCCCCGCAAUCCCAAACGAAGCCUUAGGCUUAGUUUGAUAUUGAGGUAUAUCUAACACUAUUAGAUAAAAUAGAGUUGGAGUAAAAGUAAAUAGAGAUAUACUUCUAAGUUUUUCGAUGGGACCGAAUAAAAUAUAUUAUAACCGACUCAUCGUAAUAUGUAAAACGCAAUAUUACGUACAAAAACAAAAAGGGUAUUAUCCAAUCGUACUUUCUCACCGCACAUAACGCAAUCUUCUCGCAAUCCCAAACAAAGCCUUAGGCUUAGUUUAAUAUUAAGACCUAUCUAACGCUAUUAGAUAAAAUGAGAUUGGGGUAAAAGAAUAUAGAAAUAUAUUUCUACGUUCUUCGGUGGGACAGUAAAAAAUAUAUCAUAACCGACUUAUUGUGAUAUGACGAAUGCAAUAUUAUUACGUACGAAAAUAAAUAUGAUAUUUUUUAAUCGUAUUUUUUUAUCGCACGUAACGUAAUCUCUCCGCAAUUUCAAAUAAAGCUGUAUCGGAUAAAUUUUUCUCCGUUUAAAUUUGAAUUCGAAUUCGGAUAAAAAUUUGGGAAAACUUCAAAUACCCCCUUGUGGUUUCGCACUUUUUUACUUUAGUACCAUAUGGUUUAAAGUGUAUCAAGUUAGUACCCUGUGGUUUCGUACUUUCUCACUUUAGUACUCCGUGGUUUAAAGUGUAUCAAGUUAGUGCCCUGUGGUUUCGCACUUUCUCACUUUAGUACCAUGUGAUUUAAUAUUUCAUUAAGAGAAAAAUAAAACCACAUGGUACUAACUUGAUACAAAAAAAAAAUCACAGAGUACUAACUUGAUACGCUUCAAACCACAGGGUACUAAAGUGAAAAAGUGCGAAACCACAUAGUACUAAUUUAAUACACUUUAAACCACAGGAUACUAAAGUAAAAAACUACAGGGUACUAACUUGAUACAAAAAUAAAACCAUAGAGUACUAACUUGAUACACUUUAAACCACAGGGUACUAAAGUGAAAAAGUAUGAAACUACAGAGUACUAACUUAACACACUUUAAACCACAGGAUACUAAAGUAAAAAACCACAGGGUACUAACUUGAUACAAAAAGAAAACAACAGAGUACUAACUUGAUACACUUUAAACCACAGGAUACUAAAGUGAAAAAGUGUGAAAGUACAGAAUACUAACUUAAUACACUUUAGACCACAGGAUGAUAAAGUAAAAAAAUACGAAAUCACAGAAAAUUUUGAAGUUUUCCCUAAAAAUUUUGCGUAUCUGUAUC
rnacentral:lncRNA from 1 species